UACAGAGGUCCCAAGCGUUGUUCGGAUUUACUGGGCGUAAAGGGUGCGUAGGCGGUUGUUUAAGUCUGACGUGAAAUCUCCGGGCCUAACCCGGAAACUGCGUUGGAUACUAUUCAACUAGAGGAAUGGAGGGGAGACUGGAAUACUUGGUGUAGCAGUGAAAUGCGUAGAUAUCAAGUGGAACACCAGUGGCGAAGGCAGCCCCCUGGGCUAACACUGACGCUCAGGCACGAAAGCGUGGGGAGCAAACAGG
rnacentral:rRNA from 1 species